rnacentral:tRNA from 2 species
GGACAGGUGGCGGAGUGGUCGAUCGCGUCGGUCUCGAAAACCGAAGUAGGUGCAAGCCUACCGUGGGUUCGAAUCCCACCCUGUCCGCCA